rnacentral:rRNA from 1 species
GAUGAACGCUGGCGGCGUGCCUAAUACAUGCGAGUCGAGCGAACGGACGAGAAGCUUGCUUCUCUGAUGUUAGCGGCGGACGGGUGAGUAACACGUGGAUAACCUACCUAUAAGACUGGGAUGACUUCGGGAAACCGGAGCUAAUACCGGAUAAUAUUUUGAACCGCAUGGUUCAAAAGUGAAAGACGGUCUUGCUGUCACUUAUAGAUGGAUCCGCGCUGCAUUAGCUAGUUGGUAAGGUAACGGCUUACCAAGGCAACGAUGCAUAGCCGACCUGAGAGGGUGAUCGGCCACACUGGAACUGAGACACGGUCCAGACUCCUACGGGAGGCAGCAGUAGGGAAUCUUCCGCAAUGGGCGAAAGCCUGACGGAGCAACGCCGCGUGAGUGAUGAAGGUCUUCGGAUCGUAAAACUCUGUUAUUAGGGAAGAACAUAUGUGUAAGUAACUGUGCACAUCUUGACGGUACCUAAUCAGAAAGCCACGGCUAACUACGUG